rnacentral:rRNA from 1 species
GAGUUUGAUCCUGGCUCAGAUUGAACGCUGGCGGCAUGCCUUACACAUGCAAGUCGAACGGCAGCAUGAUCUAGCUUGCUAGAUUGAUGGCGAGUGGCGAACGGGUGAGUAAUACAUCGGAACGUGCCCUGUAGUGGGGGAUAACUAGUCGAAAGAUUAGCUAAUACCGCAUACGACCUGAGGGUGAAAGUGGGGGACCGCAAGGCCUCAUGCUAUAGGAGCGGCCGAUGUCUGAUUAGCUAGUUGGUGGGGUAAAGGCCCACCAAGGCGACGAUCAGUAGCUGGUCUGAGAGGACGAUCAGCCACACUGGGACUGAGACACGGCCCAGACUCCUACGGGAGGCAGCAGUGGGGAAUUUGGACAAUUGGCGAAAGCCUGAUCCAGCAAUGCCGCGUGUGUGAAGAAGGCC